UAGGGAAUAUUGCAAAAUGGGCGAAAGCCCGAUGCAGCAACGCCGCGUGGGCGAUGAAGGCCUUCGGGUCGUAAAGCCCUUUUUGAGGGGAUGAGGAAGGACAGUACCCUCAGAAUAAGCCUCGGCUAACUACGUGCCAGCAGCCGCGGUAAAACGUAGGAGGCGAGCGUUACCCGGAUUUACUGGGCGUAAAGCGCGUGCAGGCGGAUUGGAGAGUUGGAUGUGAAAGCUCCCGGCUUAACUGGGAGAGGUCGUUCAAUACUUCCAGUCUUGAGUGCAGUAGAGGGAAGUGGAAUUCCGGGUGUAGUGGUGAAAUGCGUAGAUAUCCGGAGGAACACCAGUGGCGAAAGCGGCUUCCUGGACUGUAACUGACGCUCAGACGCGAAAGCUAGGGUAGCAAACG
rnacentral:rRNA from 1 species